AUGCAAUGCCCCCCCCCUCGUGCAAAGUGCCCCCCCCCUGCAUUGCAUUGCAACCAAUCCAUGCAAUGCCCCCCCCCCGUGCAAAGUGUGCAAAGGGACCCCCCGUGCAAAGCGACCCCCCUGCACUGCUUUGCUUUGCAUUGCAUUGCAACCCCCCCAUGCAAAGUUUGCACAGUACCCCCCCCCAUGCAUUACAUUGCAUUGCAACCCCUCCAUGCAAUGCCCCCCCCCGUUGCAAAGUGGACCCCCCCAUGCACUACAUUGUGUUGCAUUGCAUUGCAUUGCAACCCCUUCAUGCAAUGCCCCCCCUCCGUUGCAAAGUGGACCCCUCCCAGACUUUGCAUUGCAUUGCAUUGCAACCACCCCCCCCGUGCAAAGUUGACCCCCCAUGCAUUGCAUUGCAACCCCUUCAUGCAAUGCCCCCCCCAUGUAAACUGCCCCCCCCCCCAUGCACUACAUUGCAUUGCAUUGCAAACCGUCCAUGCAAUGCCCCCCCCAAUGCAAAGCAUGUUAAGGCCCCCCCCGUUGCAAAGUGGACCACCCUCCAUACAUUACACUACAUUGCAUUACAUUGCAUUGCAACCCCCCCCGUUGCAAAGUGGAGCCCCCAUGCACUACAUUGCAUUGCAUUGCAUUGCAAUCCCUUCAUGCAAUGCCCCCCCCCAUGCAAACUGCCCCCCCCUCCCCCCAAUGCACUACAUUGCAAUGCAUUGCAACCCCCUCCGUUGCAAAGUGAACCCCCCCCAUGCACUACACUGCAUUGAAUUGCAACCCCCCCCGUUGCAAAGUGGAGCCCCCCAUGCAUUGCAUUCCAUUGCAUUGCAUUGCAAACAGUCCAUGCAAUGCCCCCCCAAUGUAAACUGCCCCCCCCCCCAUGCACUACAUUGCAUUGCAUUGCAACAACCCCCGUUGCAAAGUGGACUCCCCCCAUGCACUGCAUUGAAUUGCAACCCCCCCGUUGCAAAGUGGACCCCCCCUCCAUGCACUACAUUGCAAUGCAUUGCAACCCCCCCGUUGCAAAGUAGACCCCCCCUCCAUGCACUACACAGCAUUGAAUUGCAACCCCCCCCUUGCAAAAUGGACCCCCCCCAUGCACUACAUUGCAUUGAAUUGCAACCCCCCCGUUGCAAAGUGGACCCCCCCUCCAUGCACUACAUUGCA
rnacentral:lncRNA from 1 species